rnacentral:rRNA from 1 species
GACAGAGGCCCCGAGCGUUAAUCGGAAUCACUGGGCUUAAAGGGUGCGUAGGCCGGCCCGCAAGUGCUUCGUGAAAGCCCACGGCUCAACCGUGGAACAGCGGGGCAUACUGCGGGUCUGAGGCAGGUAGGGGUCGCGAGAACAGUAGGUGGAGCGGUGAAAUGCGUAGAUAUCUACUGGAAUGCCGAUGGUGAAGACGCGCGACUGGGCCUGUCCUGACGCUGAGGCACGAAAGCGUGGGGAGCAAACAGG